UACGUAGGGUGCGAGCGUUGUCCGGAAUUACUGGGCGUAAAGAGCUUGUAGGCGGUUUGUCGCGUCUGCUGUGAAAAUCCGGGGCUCAACCCCGGACUUGCAGUGGGUACGGGCAGACUAGAGUGUGGUAGGGGAGACUGGAAUUCCUGGUGUAGCGGUGAAAUGCGCAGAUAUCAGGAGGAACACCGGUGGCGAAGGCGGGUCUCUGGGCAGUAACUGACGCUGAGGAGCGAAAGCAUGGGUAGCGAACAGGAUUAGAUACCCGUGUA
rnacentral:rRNA from 1 species